rnacentral:rRNA from 1 species
AUUGAACGCUGGCGGAAUGCUUUACACAUGCAAGUCGAACGGCAGCACGGACUUCGGUCUGGUGGCGAGUGGCAAACGGGUGAGUAACAUAUCGGAACGUAUCCAAUAAUGGGGGAUAACGAGUCGAAAGAUUCGCUAAUACCGCAUACGAUCUAAGGAUGAAAGCGGGGGAUCGCAAGACCUCGCGCGAUUGGAGCGGCCGAUAUCAGAUUAGGUAGGUGGUGGGGUAAAGGCUCACCAAGCCAACGAUCUGUAGCUGGUCUGAGAGGACGACCAGCCACACUGGAACUGAGACACGGUCCAGACUCCUACGGGAGGCAGCAGUGGGGAAUUUUGGACAAGGGACGCAAGUCUGAUCCAGCCAUUCCGCGUGCAGGAUGAAGGCCCUCGGGUUGUAAACUGCUUUUGUACGGAACGAAAAGGUCUCUCUUAAUACGGGGGGCUCAUGACGGUACCGUAAGAAUAAGCACCGGCUAACUACGUGCCAGCAGCCGCCGUAA